GGAGACGUGGCCGAGCGGUUGAAGGCACUGGUCUUGAAAACCAGCAGACCGAAAGGUCUCGAAGGUUCGAAUCCUUCCGUCUCCG
rnacentral:tRNA from 1 species